rnacentral:rRNA from 1 species
UUCCCCCUUCGGGGGGACAGGGUGACAGGUGGUGCAUGGUUGUCGUCAGCUCGUGUCGUGAGAUGUUGGGUUAAGUCCCGCAACGAGCGCAACCCUCGACCUUAGUUGCCAGCAUUCAGUUGGGCACUCUAAGGUGACUGCCGGCUAAAAGUCGGAGGAAGGUGGGGAUGACGUCAAAUCAUCAUGCCCCUUAUGACCUGGGCUACACACGUGCUACAAUGGUUGGUACAACGAGUUGCGAGUCGGUGACGGCGAGCUAAUCUCUUAAAGCCAAUCUCAGUUCGGAUUGUAGGCUGCAACUCGCCUACAUGAAGUCGGAAUCGCUAGUAAUCGCGGAUCAGCACGCCGCGGUGAAUACGUUCCCGGGCCUU